rnacentral:lncRNA from 1 species
AAAAAAAAAGGACAAAACUUAUAUGUAGUUACAUAGGUCCAUUUGUUUACUAUUCUCAAAUAGAAAUAUGACACCUGGACAAUUUAAUUUAAAUUCAUUUAGAUGAUUAACCUCCGUUAGUUUCGUCUUUCCAAUCGUUUCGUCUUUGCAGCCCAUCAAUUGAACUUCUCUGCCAAUUGUCACCAUCCAAUGCCAACUUCAUUCUCGACGACAAAUCACCACCUCUAAGAACUGAUGAUGGCAAAACCCCACCACGUUACAUAUCUUUAAUGUAUAAUAACACUCAUAUUUGUCAUUCACAGAUCCCGCGAUGCAACAUUGGAAACGAAAUCUCAUUAAAACAAUAAAAGAAACCCCACCAAAGGGUUUUGCUGCGUUUGUCACAUUGUUCAUGAUGAGAGUGCAAUUAGGUUUGUUUUUGCGAAGUAUUAUAUAUGAUGAGCAGUUAUGAUCGUUUUUGCGAAGUAUUACAUAGGAUGAUGGGGCUCAAGAAGAGGGAGAAGUGGGCUAAUAUUGCUAUGUGGAGGUCACGAAAAGCAAUAGUCUAUGUGGAUAUUGUUGGCCACAUUAGAAGAAAAUGAAAAGAUGAUUGGUUUUUUUCGGUUAUUUCUUGCAAUUGAGGGAGUGGACUUAAAGAGAAGUUUUUUUU